AUUGCUCACAGGGCAGCUAAAGAGAAGCAGAGAGCAAAGGCAGAUACAAAGAAGCCAAUAACUGCCCAACCCGCUGCCCAACGACAGAAGGCUCAGAAGAAUGUCAAGCAGGUGGCUGCCAAGCCGCGUGUGGGUGUCAAGCGAUAAGCUUGGCACUGCUCUGUAAAUUACCCUAAUAAAACUCUGCUCAAAAUUU